AGUGAACGCUGGCGGUAGGCCUAACACAUGCAAGUCGAACGGCAGCACAGUAAGAGCUUGCUCUUACGGGUGGCGAGUGGCGGACGGGUGAGGAAUACAUCGGAAUCUACUUUUUCGUGGGGGAUAACGUAGGGAAACUUACGCUAAUACCGCAUACGACCUACGGGUGAAAGCAGGGGAUCUUCGGACCUUGCGCGAUUGAAUGAGCCGAUGUCGGAUUAGCUAGUUGGCGGGGUAAAGGCCCACCAAGGCGACGAUCCGUAGCUGGUCUGAGAGGAUGAUCAGCCACACUGAAACUGGGACACGGCCCAAACUCGUAGGGGAGGAAGAAGGGGGAAAAAUUGAAAAAGGGGGGAAGGCUGAAUCAGGCCAAACGGGGGGGUGAAAGAGGGCCUCGGGGUUGUAAAGCCCUUUGGUGGGAAAGAAAAGGAGGAAGGUUAAAACCCGGCGGUUCGGAGGGAACCAAAGAAUAAGCACCGGCUAACUUCGUG
rnacentral:rRNA from 1 species